GAAAUGCGAUACGUAAUGCGAAUUGCAGAAUUCAGUGAAUCAUCGAAUUUUUGAACGCAAAUUGCGCUCUCGGGAUAGGCCUGAGAGCAUGUUUCUUUGAGCCUCGUGUCUAAACCACCUCGGCUGCGUGCCGGAAAAUGAAAGUCUUGUGUCAAUGGAACGCAAGUCUUUUUAAGCUCAUUGAGUCCAUUCUUCGAUUCGCUUUGCUAGCUGACUAUUGCAAAGCGGCGCGAUUAGAGGUUUUAAUUAACUUAUUUUCUCGCUGUGUUGCAACUGAUGGCUUGUGAUGUGAUCAGAGAUAUGAACGAUACGGAAACCAUUUUUGACUUAGAGCUCAAAUGAAGCAAGAUAACCCGCUGAACUUAA
rnacentral:misc_RNA from 1 species